GGAGUUAGCCGGUGCUUCUUCUGUGAGUUGAUGUCCUUCCUGCCGGCUAUUAACCCGCAGGCCUUCUUCCUCACUGAAAGUGCUUUACAACCCGAAGGCCUUCUUCACACACGCGGCAUGGCUGGAUCAGGGUUGCCCCCAUUGUCCAAUAUUCCCCACUGCUGCCUCCCGUAGGAGUCUGGGCCGUGUCUCAGUCCCAGUGUGGCUGAUCAUCCUCUCAGACCAGCUACGGAUCGUCGCCUUGGUGAGCCGUUACCUCACCAACCAGCUAAUCCGACAUAGGCUCAUCCGAUAGCGCGAGGCCCGAAGGUCCCCCGCUUUCCCCCGUAGGGCCGUAUGCGGUAUUAGCCUGGGUUUCCCCAGGUUAUCCCCCACUACCGGGCAGAUUCCUAUGCAUUACUCACCCGUCCGCCGCUCGCCACCAGGGAGCAAGCUCCCCGUGCUGCCGCUCGACUUGCAUGUGUUAGGCCUGCCGCCAGCGUUCAUCUGAGCCAGAAUACAACUCUGA
rnacentral:rRNA from 1 species